rnacentral:snRNA from 1 species
CAGAAGAUUAGCAUGGCCCCUGCGCAAGGAUGACACGCUCUGCUCGAGAAAUGGUUCCACAAUUUU